UACGUAGGGUGCGAGCGUUAAUCGGAAUUACUGGGCGUAAAGAGCUCGUAGGUGGUUCGGUAAGUCGGGUGUGAAACCUCCAGGCUCAACCUGGAGACGCCACCCGAUACUGCUGUGACUAGAGUCCAGUAGGGGAGCGUGGAAUUCCUGGUGUAGCGGUGAAAUGCGCAGAUAUCAGGAGGAACACCAGUGGCGAAGGCGGCGCUCUGGGCUGGCACUGACACUGAGGAGCGAAAGCGUGGGGAGCGAACAGG
rnacentral:rRNA from 1 species